GUGGGGAAUCUUCCGCAAUGGGCGCAAGCCUGACGGAGCAACGCCGCGUGAGUGAAGAAGGUUUUCGGAUCGUAAAGCUCUGUUGUCAGGGACGAGAGACUUGAUCAGGAAAUGGGUCAAGGAGGACGGUACCUGGCGAGAAAGCCACGGCUAACUACGUGCCAGCAGCCGCGGUAAUACGUAGGUGGCGAGCGUUGUCCGGAAUUAUUGGGCGUAAAGGGAGCGCAGGUGGGAUUGUAAGUCAGUCUUAAAAGUUCGGGGCUCAACCCCGUGAUGGGAUUGAAACUACAGUUCUUGAGUGCAGGAGAGGAAAGCGGAAUUCCUAGUGUAGCGGUGAAAUGCGUAGAUAUUAGGAGGAACACCAGUGGCGAAGGCGGCUUUCUGGACUGUAACUGACACUGAGGCUCGAAAGCGUGGGGAGCGAACAGG
rnacentral:rRNA from 1 species